rnacentral:rRNA from 1 species
GAGUUUGAUCAUGGCUCAGAUUGAACGCUGGCGGCAGGCCUAACACAUGCAAGUCGAGCGGUAGAGAGAAGCUUGCUUCUCUUGAGAGCGGCGGACGGGUGAGUAAUGCCUAGGAAUCUGCCUGGUAGUGGGGGAUAACGCUCGGAAACGGACGCUAAUACCGCGUACGUCCUACGGGAGAAAGCAGGGGACCUUCGGGCCUUGCGCUAUCAGAUGAGCCUAGGUCGGAUUAGCUAGUUGGUGAGGUAAUGGCUCACCAAGGCGACGAUCCGUAACUGGUCUGAGAGGAUGAUCAGUCACACUGGAACUGAGACACGGUCCAGACUCCUACGGGAGGCAGCAGUGGGGAAUAUUGGACAAUGGGCGAAAGCCUGAUCCAGCCAUGCCGCGUGUGUGAAGAAGGUCUUCGGAUUGUAAAGCACUUUAAGUUGGGUAGGAAGGGCAGUAAAUUAAUACUUUGCUUGUUUGACGUUACCGACAGAAUAAGCACCGGCUAACUCUCGUGCCAGCCGCCG